rnacentral:rRNA from 1 species
GACGAACGCUGGCGGCGUGCUUAACACAUGCAAGUCGAACGGAAAGGCCCUGCUUUUGUGGGGUGCUCGAGUGGCGAACGGGUGAGUAACACGUGAGUAACCUGCCCUUGACUUUGGGAUAACUUCAGGAAACUGGGGCUAAUACCGGAUAGGAGCUCCUGCUGCAUGGUGGGGGUUGGAAAGUUUCGGCGGUUGGGGAUGGACUCGCGGCUUAUCCGCUUGUUGGGGGGGUAGUGGCUUACCAAGGGUUUGACGGGUAGCCGGCCUGGGAGGGUGACCGGCCACAUUGGGGCUGAGGUAGGGCCCAGAGGCCAACGGGAGGCAGCAGUGGGGAAUAUUGCACAAUGGGCGGAAGCCUGAUGCAGCAACGCCGGGUGCGGGAUGACGGCCUUCGGGUGGUAAACCGCUUUCGCCUGUGACGAAGCGUGAGUGACGGUAAUGGGUAAAGAAGCACCGGCUAACUACGUG